rnacentral:misc_RNA from 1 species
CUGACAGCUUGAUAGCCCUCCCUCUUUACAGCUGACAGAUAUCAGUUCGAUACACGGAUAGUGCUACUCCUUUAAACGACCGAUGUUAUUAUCUACGUAAAAAUAUAAAGUCAGCUUAUUUUUGUUGUUCCUAAUCGUCAUAAUUAUAACAACAAAGACGGAAUAUUUCGAUGACAAAUAUAACUUUAUGAAGGGUAACGCAUCACGGAGCGCGG